rnacentral:rRNA from 1 species
GACGAACGCUGGCGGCGUGCCUAACACAUGCAAGUCGAACGGAGAUAUGAUUUCGGUUAUAUCUUAGUGGCGAACGGGUGAGUAACGCGUGAGCAACCUGACUCUUAGAGGGGGAUAACACCCGGAAACGAGUGCUAAUACCGCAUAAGAACACGACAUGGCAUCAUGACGAGGUCAAAGGAGCAAUCCGCUGAGAGAGGGGCUCGCGUCCCAUUAGAUAGAUGGCGGGGUAACGGCCCACCAUGUCAACGAUGGGUAGCCGAGCUGAGAGGCUGAUCGGCCACACUGGAACUGAGACACGGUCCAGACUCCUACGGGAGGCAGCAGUGGGGAAUAUUGGGCAAUGGGCGCAAGCCUGACCCAGCAACGCCGCGUGAGGGAAGAAGGCUUUCGGGUUGUGAACCUCUGUCCUUGGUGACGAAACAAAUGACGGUAGCCAAGGAGGAAGCCCCGGCUAACUACGUGCCAGCAGCCGCGGUAA